rnacentral:rRNA from 1 species
UGGGGAAUAUUGCACAAUGGGCGAAAGCCUGAUGCAGCAACGCCGCGUGAGUGAUGAAGGCCUUCGGGUUGUAAAGCUCUGUCUUUUGGGACGAUAAUGACGGUACCAAGGAGGAAGCACGGCUAACUACGUGCCAGCAGCCGCGGUAAUACGUAGGUGGCAAGCGUUGUCCGGAUUUACUGGGCGUAAAGGAUGCGUAGGCGGAUUUUUAAGUGAGAUGUGAAAUACCCGGGCUUAACUUGGGUGCUGCAUUUCAAACUGGGAAUCUAGAGUGCGGGAGAGGAGAAUGGAAUUCCUAGUGUAGCGGUGAAAUGCGUAGAGAUUAGGAAGAACACCAGUGGCGAAGGCGAUUCUCUGGACCGUAACUGACGCUGAGGCAUGAAAGCGUGGGUAGCAAACAGGAUUAGAUACCCUGGUAGUCCACGCCGUAAACGAUGAGUACUAGGUGUAGAGGUAUCGACCCCUUCUGUGCCGCAGUUAACACAAUCAAGUA